rnacentral:lncRNA from 1 species
AGGCCUGUGUUACUCAGUGAAGAUAAAGGUUUAAAAAUUCUAAAAUCCUGAGAAGAGACUUGUAUAAAGAAAACUGAAAAUGCCUGACUAUGGAGUCACCAGUUUAGAGACUAAAAGAAACUUUGGGUUUUCAGUGGCAAAGGGAGAAAGAGAAAGAAGGAUUUCAGCACGCCUGGAUGUGACCAACUUUUGUGGAGUCGAGUCAGUUGGCUUCAUUAUUCCCCUGCAACAUUUCCUUUGCACUCGUCGAUUUCCAUGGCUACAUGAUGAUUACUUCCUGAGAAACAAAGGAACACAUGUGUUUGGAAGUAAAAAGGAAGCAUACAGAUCACCUAUUGAACCACAGCCCUGUAAAAAACCUGGUAUAAAUGGAAACUUUUCUUUUUAUCAUAGAGUGUUUGAAGUAAAGGAAUUCACAUAA